GGGGGAAAAAUUUAUUGCUAUUAGAUGAGCCUAUAUUAGAUUAGUUAGUUGGUGAGGUAAAGGCUUACCAAGACAAUGAUCUAUAGCUGAUCUGAGAGGAUGAUCAGCCACACUGGAACUGAGAUACGGUCCAGACUCCUACGGGAGGCAGCAGUGGGGAAUAUUGGACAAUGGGCGAAAGCCUGAUCCAGCCAUGCCGCAUGAGUGAAGAAGGCCUUCGGGUUGUAAAGCUCUUUUAGUGAGGAAGAUAGUGACGGUACUCACAGAAGAAGUCCUGGCUAACUCCGUGCCAGCAGCCGCGGUAAUACGGAGAGGGCUAGCGUUAUUCGGAAUCAUUGGGCGUAAAGGGCGCGUAGGCGGGUUAGUAAGUUAAAAGUGAAAUCCCAAGGCUCAACCUUGGAACUGCUUUUAAAACUGCUAGUCUAGAGAUUGAAAGAGGAUAGAGGAAUUCCUAGUGUAGAGAUGAAAUUCGUAAAUAUUAGGAGGAACACCAGUGGCGAAGGCGUCUAUCUGGUUCAAAUCUGACGCUGAGGCGCGAAGGCGUGGGGAGCAAACAGGAUUAGAUACCCUGGUAGUCCACGCUGUAAACGAUGAAUGUUAAAUAUGGGAAGUUUACUUUCUGUAUUAUAGCUAACGCGUUAAACAUUCCGCCUGGGGACUACNGUCGC
rnacentral:rRNA from 1 species